rnacentral:rRNA from 1 species
CCUACGGGCGGCAGCAGUGAGGAAUAUUGGUCAAUGGACGAGAGUCUGAACCAGCCAAGUAGCGUGAAGGAUGACUGCCCUAUGGGUUGUAAACUUCUUUUAUAUGGGAAUAAAAUGUUCCACGUGUGGGUUUUUGUAUGUACCAUAUGAAUAAGGAUCGGCUAACUCCGUGCCAGCAGCCGCGGUAAUACGGAGGAUCCGAGCGUUAUCCGGAUUUAUUGGGUUUAAAGGGAGCGUAGGUGGAUUGUUAAGUCAGUUGUGAAAGUUUGCGGCUCAACCGUAAAAUUGCAGUUGAAACUGGCAGUCUUGAGUACAGAAGAGGUGGGCGGAAUUCGUGGUGUAGCGGUGAAAUGCUUAGAUAUCACGAAGAACUCCGAUUGCGAAGGCAGCUCACUGGACUGCAACUGACACUGAGGCUCGAAAGUGUGGGUAUCAAACAGGAUUAGAUACCCGAGUAGUC